AACUUUUAACAAUGGAUCUCUUGGCUCUCGCAUCGAUGGAGAACGCAGCGAAAGGCGAUAAGUAAUGUGAAUUGCAGAAUUCAGUGAAUCAUCGAAUCUUUGAACGCAUCUUGCGCUCCUUGGUAUUCCGAGGAGCAUGCCUGUUUGAGUGUCAUUUAACUUCUCAACCACACAUCUCAUGAUGGCUCGUGGCUUGGAUGUGGGGGUUGUUUGCAGGCUUUCUGUGAAUGAAGGUCGGCUCCCCUGAAAUGUAUUAGUGGUAUCUGAGGCUACUACUAUAGGUGUGAUAAUUAUCUAUGCCUUUGGUAUGCCGCAUGAACAGAUUACACUGCUUCUAACAAAACAACGAUGUUGAUAAAUUUGACCUCAAAUCAGGUAGGACUACCCGCUGAACUUAAGCAUAUCAAUAAGCGGAGGCU
rnacentral:misc_RNA from 1 species